GAUGAAGAACGCAGUGAAAUGCGAUAAUUAAUGUGAAUUGCAGAAUUCAGUGAAUCAUCGAGUCUUUGAACGCACAUUGCGCCCCCUGGUAUUCCGGGGGGCAUGCCUGUCCGAGCGUCAUUGCUGCCCUCAAGCACGGCUUGUGUGUUGGGCUUCCGUCCCUGGCAACGGGGACGGGCCCAAAAGGCAGUGGCGGCACCAUGUCUGGUCCUCGAGCGUAUGGGGCUUUGUCACCCGCUCCCGUAGGUCCAGCUGGCAGCUAGCCUCGCAACCAAUCUUUUUAACCAGGUUGACCUCGGAUCAGGUAGGGAUACCCGCUGAACUUAAGCAUAUCAAAAGCGGAGGA
rnacentral:misc_RNA from 1 species